AGCUUUUAGCCUGGGAUUGGCCCUGAUCUGGGAGGGCAACCUUAGCAACAAACUCAGAGAAAGUUGUAGAGAGAGACUAAGCUCCCAGAAGAGAGGACUGGAGAAUGAAGCUCCCCAACAAGCGUUUGCAAAAGGCAAAGCCCCGGAUCAGAGUAGAAUGUAAGCAUCCUGGCUGGAGGGCUGACUCACAAGAAGGAACACACCUCUAUGACCACAGAGUAGUUGCUGGCAGGGGGUGACAGACAGAAGAGCACAUCAGCCAGUGACUGAACCUUGUACACACUCUCUGAUAACAAGUCGGCCAACAGAAAUCAAAGUCAAUUUAACCGAGGGACUUUUAGAGGAGCAUCCAGUCUAUCCCACAGCAUCAUGAAAUGACUGAUUUAAUUAUUCCUACGCCAUCCUGAAUAGAGGGGAUAGCCUAGCCUUCAAAUGAUAUUGUACAUCAACAUGAAUAAUAAGGAAGCAAUAUGGGAAAACUUAUCUUCAUGGCCAUUCACUGGGGCUGAUUCUCCUCCAACUUAAACUGGGAAUAAAUCAAGGGUAAUUCCAUGAAGGUCAAUGGAAUUACAGUGAUGUGAGAAGAGUCAGGCCCACUAUCUCCCCUCUAGCUGCUUUUUUCUCCCUUUUAAUGAGUGUGUUGCCUAUUUGCA